rnacentral:rRNA from 1 species
GACGAACGCUGGCGGCGUGCUUAACACAUGCAAGUCGAGCGGUAAGGCCCUUCGGGGUACACGAGCGGCGAACGGGUGAGUAACACGUGGGUGACCUGCCUCUAGCUCUGGGAUAAGCCUGGGAAACUGGGUCUAAUACCGGAUAUGACUCCACGGCGCAUGUUGUGGGGUGGAAAGCCUUGUGUGGCUAGAGAUGGGCCCGCGGCCUAUCAGCUUGUUGGUGGGGUGAUGGCCUACCAAGGCGACGACGGGUAGCCGGCCUGAGAGGGCGACCGGCCGACACUGGGACUGAGACACGGCCAGACUCCUACGGGAGGGCAGCAGUGGGGAAUCUUGCGCAAUGGGCGAAAGCCUGACGCAGCGACGCCGCGUGAGGGAUGACGG